rnacentral:rRNA from 1 species
CCCUUAGAUGUUCUGGGCCGCACGCGCGCUACACUGACGAAGUCAGCGAGCAUGUCCUAUGCCGACAGGUGCGGGGAAUCUUGUCAAACUUCGUCGUGAUGGGGAUUGAUUAUUGAAAUUCUUGAUCAUCAACGAGGAAUUCCUAGUAAGCGCAAGUCAGCAGCUUGCGUUGAUUACGUCCCUGCCCUUUGUACACACCGCCCGUCGCUCCUACCGAUUGAAUGCUCAGGUGAGCCAUUCGGACUUUCAUCAUGCUGGUUUCCAGUUUUGAUGAAGGAAAGUCUUGCGAACCUUAUCAUUUAGAGGAAGGAGAAGUCGUAACA